ACUUGCUCUCGCAUACAGCCUUACAGAGACAGGAGGGGAGAUUCAGAGACGCGGAGAAGAAGAAGAGGAGUGAGAGAGAGAGAGAGAAGGAGAGAAUGUCUGCUGAGAGGGUGGCUCUCGUUCCUCGUUCACAAACCGGCCCUCGCUGAGACACCAUGGGCUGUAUCGGCUCCCGCACCAUCACGGUGGAUGCAGUUCCCGUUCGGAAAGAUGGGGAGCAGGUAAGUAAAACUACAACGCUUUGCAUAUUUAAGAUUUGCUUUGCACCAAACCUCUGUCCCAUGUUGUGAGCUUAAGCCCUAAGGAUCACAUCUACAUGACGUCCCUUUGCCAAGAUGAUACUUGCGCGACGUCUGCAUUUCUGUCCGAAGCUAUUAUACCUACCAAGUGCUGACAUUUGUGCCUCAUGGUACUUUAAUGAAGUCUUUAGCUAACACGAAGACCCCCUGCGUGCCAUACGCACUUCUUGCAGCCCCGUAGCGCUGAAAGUCAGAGAAAGCGUGAUGGUAUAAUGUGUAUUUGAAAAGCCUCUAUAUUAGAUUCUCAGCAAGGCCACGAGAGCCGGACCCCAGAGGCCAGCCAUUACCUUACAGUAUUGCCGUAACGGCUUUGUCUCCUGGGAAGACAUAGCCUCAUCCGUCUUCCCUGUUUGCUGCCUGUGUUCACGUCCUACCCAAGGGCAACAGCUCUUGGCUUGUCGCUCUGCUCAUCCACAGAUGAAUUUGGCUCAAAAUCUACCAUUUGGGUUCUGGUAGCAGUCCAAACCAAACGGCAUGUUUAAUAUCUCAAUACAGAGUUAAGAAGCCGCGCCAGGAGGUGGUGUCAUCCCACUGUUGCUGGAGCCAAUUGUGUUGUGCGUGUAUGCGUUUGUGUUAGCGAGCCGCAUUCGAAAAGCCACUUGCUGGUUGCUAAAUUAAGAAUAAUAAAAAUAAAAGUAAGAAUUUAUGUAAUAAAAGAUUGCCUAGCAAUGGAAAUCUCUCAAGAAUCAGGUGGUAGUUGCUAAGUAGCAAGGCUAUUUUAGUUAUCUUAGUGCUAACUCAAAUGCCCUGGAACUUCACAAAAAUAAACUAUUAUAGGUUGAACUGAAAGGCCCUAGAUGGGACUAUUUUGUUUCACAGACUUGUAUGUGUGUGUUUUUAAAUAAAAUAUGUGUUUUUAUCCUCACACAACCUCGAAAAAAGUAUAAGCAUCAAAUUACCUAGCUAACUUCUGACUCUGAGAAAUCUCCUCUAAUAGGAAUACAUGGGAUUGUGGUUUAUUAUUUACAGUGCUCCUUAUUGAUUUUGACCUUCAUUUGAUAACUAAGCUGUAACUAAAUUUUACUUUAGACCUUUUUGUCUAAAAGUUACAAGUUAAAUGUUACAAGUAUUACAUUAUUCGACCAUGGACUGACUGAAGUGCUCAUUAUAGUAGCAGCGCCUCAGUUAUUUGCUUAGAAUUUUAAUUAUGUUACAUACAUAGUUGUUUAUUUAUGCUAGCAUUGUGAAAUACCAGUUCAAGUAUUACUAGAAUGAUUUAAUAACGGAUAAAAGUGCUCAUUACAGUAUCAGUGUCUAUUAUUAUUUACAUAACUUUUCAAC
ensembl:lncRNA